UUUCAUCUAAUUAUUUAUUCAAGGUAAAUAACAUAGUUAUAUCCCGCGGUAUAUCAAAGAAAACAGACUUAAAAUUAUAUAAUAGACGUUUAAUUUUACACAACACAGCAUUAUAAUAGCUAUCACGUCGUUUGAGCCUACAACGAAAAACUAGGCUAGCAUAAUGCUCCCAGGGGCUCAACAAAACACAUUACGUUUACUAAUAUUGGCUCAAUUGAUUUAUAUUAACGAGAAUUAACGGUGCAAACAAUGAACAUUUUAGGUGAACACAGAGGCUACAAAAAGCUUGUUUCCCUAAAUUAUGGUAUGUGCCAAGUAAAAUUGUUGCAAAAUUUCAGAAAAUGUAGUUUAAAGAGAGAACAGAAUAAAAAUUGUCAAAAUUUCAUUGUAACCAACAAAAAGUACAUAUGAAGCCAAUUUAACAUCCAUAGCUUUUAGGUAAGGCCAAUUAUAUACGAUAAACACAAAGGUGGAUAGGGUGGCUGGGUAUUUUUUAU